UUACACUCGCCUGCCAUUCCAAAAACUGAUGGGGAUAUCCAUUAGAAAUAAAGUGCCCAUGUCUGAAAAAUCUAUUUCUAAUGGGUUCUUUGAAUGUGAACGACGGUGCGAUGCGGACCCAUGCUGCACUGGCUUUGGAUUUCUAAAUGUUUCCCAGUUAAAAGGAGGAAAAGUGACAUGUCUCACUCUGAACAGCUUGGGAAUUCAGAUGUGCAGUGAGGAGAAUGGAGGAGCCUGGCGCAUUUUGGACUGUGGCUCUCCUGACAUUGAAGUCCACACCUAUCCCUUCGGAUGGUACCAGAAGCCCAUUGCUCAAAAUAAUGCUCCCAGUUUUUGCCCUUUGGUUGUUCUGCCUUCCCUCACAGAGAAAGGUGAGUUCAUUGUCUUUUUAUUUCUUGGAUGAGAGUACCCCCUCAUUCAUCUUCUUUCUCCUCUUCCCCCUUGCUUUUGUACAGAAGUUGACAGCUUGCAUAUCACUCGCAUUAAUUCCAGCUCCUAUGAAUUAAACACAUGUAUAAGUGGGGUGAGUACCAGCAACAUGCCCACUUUGCAGAUGAGAAAACUGACUCACGGGAAUGAAAUGAUUUGUGGAAAUUAUGUGGCUGAUUGAAGCAGAGUAAGACCUAAGUCGCGUUCUCCCAGUUUUCAUUUUAAGGAUUAUUUCGCCCUAUCGAGUAAUGACUAGAUACACACAAUCCGGAGGCAAUGUCAA
rnacentral:sRNA from 1 species